rnacentral:rRNA from 1 species
UACGGAGGGUGCAAGCGUUAUCCGGAAUCACUGGGCUUAAAGGGAGCGUAGGCGGGCUAUCAAGUCUGGGGUGAAAUCCCACGGCUCAACCGUGGAACUGCCUCAGAUACUGACGGCCUCGAGGGAGAUAGGGGCAUGCGGAACUGUAGGUGGAGCGGUGAAAUGCGUUGAUAUCUACAGGAACUCCGGUGGCGAAAGCGGCGUGCUGGAUCUCUUCUGACGCUGAGGCUCGAAAGCUAGGGGAGCAAACGGG